UGCGCAGGCGGUUUUGUAAGACAGGUGUGAAAUCCCCGGGCUUAACCUGGGAACUGCGCUUGUGACUGCAAGGCUAGAGUACGGCAGAGGGGGUGGAAUUCCACGUGUAGCAGUGAAAUGCGUAGAUAUGUGGAGGAACACCGAUGGCGAAGGCAGCCCCCUGGGCCGAUACUGACGCUCAUGCACGAAAGCGUGGGAGCAAACA
rnacentral:rRNA from 1 species